AUUAGUAUUCCUGCCUCCACCGUGUCUCACUUGCAGCAGCAGAGGGCUGAGCAAAAUGCAGUAGAGCAGGGAUAGACACAGCUCUGGCAGUCAUCUCAAUGCAGGCUGCCGAAUGUUGGGGGUGGAGGAUGCAGCACAUCAAGAUGAAUAACCUUGCCAUAAUCCGGGGCACCCAGCAAGCAGACACCUCUGCUGAUUGACCCGCUCCUGGCUUGAUAAAUCUGCCUGGGGGAGAGGGAUCCGGAAUCUACCUGGUCCCGGGGGGCCCCCCAUUGAUUUUGGAUGCUCUUUUGAUCCUACACCGAUCUGGGAAGGUAGCAGUGAGCCGUACCAUCUGCAGCACUCAGCAGCUAUUGGAGGUUACCACUGACAGUUUCAUCACACGGGUCUGUGUGAGUGUGUGCAUGUUUGUGCGUGUUUGUGAGUGUGGGUGCCUGCUUUUGCGUGAAAGAGAACGUGUGAGUGUCCAAGAGUGUGUGUGUUUGUGUGACACCAAAGCAGGUAUAUCGUACUGUAGGUUUCAGCAGCGUGAAAAUUUUCUCUGGGUACUUGGGCUCCCGGCCCAAAGCCCCUCAGCUUUCACCACCCCCUUCCUUCCCCACUCCCUUCUUCUUUUUGCCUUUGAUGAGUUUUUGGCUUACUUUUUGGCGGAGUCUCUUGGACACGUUUUUUGCUGGUGCUGGAAGAUCAGAUCAAUGGAACCUUUGAAAACUGAUUAUUUUUCUCCUGUGUGACUUUAAAAAGAAGAAGAAGAAAAGAAAAGAAAGUAGUGCAAGAUAAAUAGAGGAUUUUAAAUUUUCCUGGUGAACUUUGAGGAUACAUAAAGAAGUUGCUGGAAGUUGAGAAGAAAGGAAACUCAUUGGUGAGAGGAGGGGUCAAAAUAGAAGAGCUUCACAGAAAGGCUUCCCAAGGUGAAUUGGUCCUGGAAGAAUCAUUGGGAUCCUGAAAGGUACAACAUUAUAAACUGGGACUUCUUUCCUGGGACAUCUGUUCAUGCCAUAUAAACACCAUAAUCCAUCACAACACAUGAAAAAUAAUAUGCAGUUUUAUUAACAUUUAUGAUGAAGUUUUAAAUCAAAACUUGUAUUACCUGGUCAAAGCAAAAGGCAAUGGGGCUAUAUUUCUCUGCAAAAUAUCUAUGCUAAGAAGAUACAGAUUAUGGCCCAAAUCUUCAUCUGAGGAAGAUGUUCUGUGUCUUGGAGCCUGAUGUGUCAUGCGACAGUUGCUACGAAACCAAAUGAAGUAUUUACUGUCAUUAUCCCUAUUUGAUGAAGAGGAUACUGAGGCUCACAGAGAAUUAACUUGUCCAAGAUCAUCUGAUGUCGAGUAAUCAAGAGUGAAUGACCUGAAAGCACACACACCAGCUGGGACCAGCCUUUGAUUGAGGGGAAAACGUACAGAGACAGAGCGAUAGCAGAAAUGGUUCUCUGUUUUGUGAGGCUGCAAGAUCACCCAGGGAGAGUGGGACUAAACAGACCGGAACGUCUGACACACUGAAUGAGUUACUGGAAAAGCAGAGAUAACCUACGUAGAUUAACAAUAUGGAAACAUCCUGAAACCACUUUGGAGUCUCAGUAAAUUGACUGGAUUCACGUUUCACGAACAGGGAAACUGGCCCAUGGACAGUUUGCUACAGCUGGAGAACACAGUCCCGCUUGUCAACCACCAGUGUUCCAUGUGAGCAUAGUUCUGAAUCACAACCUAGAAGUGAGAACGGAAAGAAGCCCUACUUAAGGGUAUAAAAGAAACGUUAUCCACAGAAAUCCAGAACACUUCUCUAACCUCUUUGGAUUUUCUCGGGAAGAUCAGGACCGGUUGAGAAAUUUUGAUAUGAAGGAGGCCUUGAAAGGAGGUGGAUCUGUGGACCUAUCGUGUUUUCCUGGGAAUGGGGCUGAGCUGUGACUCCAAUUGUCCUAGUUUAUAAGUGAUGACAUCUCUUGCCUGUUGCUGAACUUACUGAGGACUACAGCCCAGGAAUCGGCCUCUCCGAUAGCUCUGAGGAACUCUUCCAAAGAGUCAAAUAUAAUUCCCUGCUGCUCCUGGGCUUCUGGACAGCUACUAAGAUCACACCUCUGCUCCUUCCUUUUCCUUCCCCUUUGAUCAAAAACACUUUAUUCUGCAAUAAUAAUAACUGGAAUAAAAUGUGUUAUAUCCACACAAUGGAAAAUUAUUUGGCAAUCAACAGGAAUGAAAUUCUGGUAUAUCCUAUGACAUGGAUGAAACUUGAAAACACUAUGUUGAAUGAAAGAAACCAGA